UCCCCUCCGACAUAUUGCCCGCAGGAGCUGCGGCGGCGAAGCGGAGAGCACCGGGGGGAGGAGAUGGGUGAGCAGAGCGGCUCAGGCUCGGCCUGGCAACGAGCGGGCGUGCGGGAGGACGAAGAGGUCCCAACAGGACAUCUUACUGUCGAAAUCCGCUCUGUGAGCCAGGAUCCUCGGGGGGCUCUGGUGGAAGCCACACUUCCAGCGCAUCGGUGACCAGUGUUCGUUCCCGCACCAGGAGCAGUUCUGGAACAGGCCUCUCCAGCCCUCCUCUGGCCACCCAAACUGUUGUGCCUCUACAGCACUGCAAGAUCCCCGAGCUGCCAGUCCAGGCCAGCAUUCUGUUUGAGUUGCAGCUCUUCUUCUGCCAGCUCAUAGCACUCUUCGUUCACUACAUCAACAUCUACAAGACAGUGUGGUGGUAUCCACCUUCCCACCCACCCUCCCACACCUCCCUGAACUUCCAUCUGAUCGACUUCAACUUGCUGAUGGUGACCACCAUUGUUCUGGGCCGCCGCUUCAUUGGGUCCAUCGUGAAGGAGGCUUCUCAGAGGGGGAAGGUCUCCCUCUUUCGCUCCAUCCUGCUGUUCCUCACUCGCUUCACCGUUCUCACGGCAACAGGCUGGAGUCUGUGCCGAUCCCUCAUCCACCUCUUCAGGACCUACUCCUUCCUGAACCUCCUGUUCCUCUGCUAUCCGUUUGGGAUGUACAUUCCGUUCCUGCAGCUGAAUUGCGACCUCCGCAAGACAAGCCUCUUCAACCACAUG
rnacentral:sRNA from 1 species